rnacentral:rRNA from 1 species
GAUGAACGCUGGCGGCGUGCCUAAUACAUGCAAGUAGAACGCAGUUGCGAACGGGUGAGUAACGCGUAGGUAACUCCCUCAUAGCGGGGGAUAACUAUUGGAAACGAUAGCUAAUACCGCAUACUGUGAGAUGGACCUGCGUUGUAUUAGCUAGUUGGUGAGGUAAAGGCUCACCAAGACGACGAUACAUAGCCGACCUGAGAGGGUGAUCAGCAACACUAGAACAAGGAGACGGCCCAGACGACUGCGAGAGGCAGCAGUGGGGAAUCUUCGGCAAGGGACGGAGGGCUGACCGAGCAACUCCGCGAGAAUGAAGAAGGUAUUCGGGUCGUACAGCUCGGUUAUUAGAAAAGCGGAAACUGACCAGAAAAGGACGGGUAACGGCGUGCCGGCAGCCGCGGUAAUAC